UGCAGUCGAACGGAAAGGCCCUGCUUUUGUGGGGUGCUCGAGUGGCGAACGGGUGAGUAACACGUGAGUAACCUGCCCUUGACUUUGGGAUAACUUCAGGAAACUGGGGCUAAUACCGGAUAGGAGCUCCUGCUGCAUGGUGGGGGUUGGAAAGUUUCGGCGGUUGGGGAUGGACUCGCGGCUUAUCAGCUUGUUGGUGGGGUAGUGGCUUACCAAGGCUUUGACGGGUAGCCGGCCUGAGAGGGUGACCGGCCACAUUGGGACUGAGAUACGGCCCAGACUCCUACGGGAGGCAGCAGUGGGGAAUAUUGCACAAUGGGCGGAAGCCUGAUGCAGCAACGCCGCGUGCGGGAUGACGGCCUUCGGGUUGUAAACCGCUUUCGCCUGUGACGAAGCGUGAGUGACGGUAAUGGGUAAAGAAGCACCGGCUAACUACGUGCCAGCAGCCGCGGUGAUACGUAGGGUGCGAGCGUUGUCCGGAUUUAUUGGGCGUAAAGGGCUCGUAGGUGGUUGAUCGCGUCGGAAGUGUAAUCUUGGGGCUUAACCCUGAGCGUGCUUUCGAUACGGGUUGACUUGAGGAAGGUAGGGGAGAAUGGAAUUCCUGGUGGAGCGGUGGAAUGCGCAGAUAUCAGGAGGAACACCAGUGGCGAAGGCGGUUCUCUGGGCCUUUCCUGACGCUGAGGAGCGAAAGCGUGGGGAGCGAACAGGCUUAGAUACCCUGGUAGUCCACGCUGUAAACGGUGGGUACUAGGUGUGGGGUCCAUUCCACGGGUUCCGUGCCGUAGCUAACGCUUUAAGUACCCCGCCUGGGGAGUACGGCCGCAAGGCUAAAACUCAAAGGAAUUGACGGGGCCCCGCACAAGCGGCGGAGCAUGCGGAUUAAUUCGAUGCAACGCGUAGAACCUUACCUGGGUUUGACAUGGAUCGGGAGUGCUCAGAGAUGGGUGUGCCUCUUUUGGGGUCGGUUCACAGGUGGUGCAUGGCUGUCGUCAGCUCGUGUCGUGAGAUGUUGGGUUAAGUCCCGCAACGAGCGCAACCCUUGUUCACUGUUGCCAGCACGUUAUGGUGGGGACUCAGUGGAGACCGCCGGGGUCAACUCGGAGGAAGGUGGGGAUGACGUCAAGUCAUCAUGCCCCUUAUGUCCAGGGCUUCACGCAUGCUACAAUGGCUGGUACAGAGAGUGGCGAGCCUGUGAGGGUGAGCGAAUCUCGGAAAGCCGGUCUCAGUUCGGAUUGGGGUCUGCAACUCGACCUCAUGAAGUCGGAGUCGCUAGUAAUCGCAGAUCAGCAACGCUGCGGUGAAUACGUUCCCGGGGCUUGUACACACCGCCCGUCAAGUCAUGAAAGUUGGUAACACCCGAAGCCGGUGGCCUAACCGUUGUGGGGGAGCC
rnacentral:rRNA from 1 species